GAUGCUCUUGGGAAGCCACACAUAUCUAAGCAUUCACUGAGUACUUACGAGUGCCCAGCACUGUGGCUGCCACCCAGAAAGUGACACAGAAGAAGCCCCGAUGUCUGCCUGUGGGGCCAUUGGCCCACAAGGUGCACACUUCAGAGCCUGAGCAGAGGGGAUAUGUCUGACGGAGAGAGCAUGGGUUAAGACAAGAAGUCACGUAGCAAAAAGGAGCAGUCUUUGUUUCCCGGAAAGGCUCACUCUCUCGGGACCUAACUGGAGUCCUGGGAAUGCUACAUGGAUCUCUUCUGAAGACACCCCAGUGAUCUAACUGUGCUCCACCAGGCUCUAGAACAGAUUGGCUGAGCUUACUCUACACAGAGGAUGCUGUUCCUCUCACAGCCGUAGGCUGACAAAUAAGCAGCCCCGAGCCAGGUGUGGGAUGCUGCCUCUCAAGCUGUGAGGCAGGGACGUCUGUCCCAGAGAAUUCCCAAGCAAUGGGAGCUAUUGCCGUUGCUCUUGGCUGUCCACCAGAGCUUGAUCGUCAGACCCUGUUGCUGAAGACUCCACGGCACUGGACACAGGACAUGAAGACACUAGUGGUAUUGAUGGAGAGGCUCCCGCCUUGCUGGUUAAUUUUCAUACUAAUGGAAGAGGCUAUGUAAGCUGCUGGGGUGGGAGGAAGUAAAGAUCAGUGUCACCCAGCUGUGGAAACUGCAAGCUACAAUAAUGAUCGGAUCGACCAUAUGCCCACAGGAGCCAUCAUGGCAUGAAUGUUAGGGGGCGUCGGGGAUAACCAACUGUUUUCUGAUUAGACUUAAGGCCUGCUUCACACAUGCCCAGUACCGUGAAGACAAGAACUCAUGUCUGGGAAGCUCAUACACUUGGGAAAUGAACCUUCUGCUAUUAAAUGGAAGAAAUGGACAUAGCAUAUAAAGAUGCACAUGCCUGUCCACGCCCACGUCCAGACUCCUGGAGGACAGCACCUCUCCUACUUCCGAGCUCUGUGGGUCUUCUGCACUACUCCAUGGAAGAUAUCUCACCCUGUCCCAGAAACAUUGCCAUGAGCCCCUUACAGAGACAAACAAGUCUUCUUCAUGGGAACUCUUCACCGGAUCUCUGGAUUUGGUAAAGAUUGUUGGAACUUAAGAGGCAAUGUCAGUCUUCAAGUUCUACCAAGGUUGUCAAUCUGCUUAGGGGUGUUUUGUUAUGACUCUAUUGCGGGCUUUCCAUUAACUGCCCAAACCUCUGAGUCUGCCCCUUCAGUUUGUUCAGACCCAGUUUCCUGCAGGGUGGCGAGGGUGAGGCACACAGAACUAUCCAGUCCUCUCCCUGGAAGAACAAGCUUGUUCCUCUGCAUCCUUCCUAAGAGGACUGGAGACGCGGAAGGGUGAGCUCAUGGACUUCCUCAGAGCCUCGUUCUCCUACAGAUACAUGCAUUGGACAAGGUCACCUGGUGUUGUCUCCAGGCUUAGGCAGGAAAUCCCCACAGCUUCCAGAACAGAUGGAGAAAACACUGACUGUCUUCAGGCAGGGAGCUAGAACAGACGCCAGGCUGAGGAGGCCUGGGCGAGACUUGUUCAGGCUGCUCUUAAGCCUGAUGUCAUGGGCCGGGGGUGGGGGGCGGCAUUCGGUCACAAGGCUGGGAUUGGGAUAUUUAGCUUUGAAAGAACUUUAUCAUAGAACAAGGACUCCCGGAGAUUCAUCUUCCACUAACCUAUGAGCACCUUCAAGUCAGAGCACGUCGGAUUCACAUUUGUUCCCACUCCCUGGUAGGUUACCUGGCACUGAAAAGAGGCUCAAUAAAUAAAUAUAUGGGAGGCAGAGAGAGGACGCAUUAAGUCCAGCCAUGCAAGUGAGCAGUUCAGGGGCUGUAGGCCUUGCCCUCCCCAUGCCUGCUUCGUCUUUCCUGAAUUCUGUUCUCAGUUGCUCCCUGGUUUCUCUCUUGGCCCUUCAGGUAGAAUUCCAUCAGUACUUUCUCUCCUGCUUCCCUGAUCUUUGGCAUCCCCAAGUCCAUGUUUGCUCACCCCCACCCCACCAUUGGUCUCUGCUAGUCUCUGUUCAUUAGUAAGCAGAGUUACUUGAGGGAAAAGACCAAAGCUUGUCCCUUAGGCUGAGUGACAGGUUUUCCGGCCAGAGGGUCAGAAGGUCACAUAGCAGGUAACUCAGGUGAAGGUGAGGGAGGGAGGUGGGAGUGGAAGGCCGCCCCUGAGGAGGGUUGGCCGACAGAUAAACAAGGCAGGAAUGCACCGUCUGGGCUUUCAUGAGAGACUCCAUCAGCUAGAACAGGAUGGAGACACCACAACUUGGCUAGCAAGGGUUCAGGCCUCCAGCACACGAGGAGAGGAUGACCCUCGGGGAUCACGGAGACCAGUGGUCCUGAAGAGUCCCCCUCAGUCUUUCUGGGUUCAUAUAAAUGAUCAAAGAAAGCCUAAGGGGUACUCUCAGUAUUUUCAUUAAUGAAAUUCCCAUAUGAUAUGAUUGCAGAGGGUAAAAUUAAAAGGUUGCCUGCCUUUGCCUUUGGCUAAGGCUUUAACAGCAUGGCCUCCCCACAGAGAAAUAAAUUACCUGAUUAUAU
rnacentral:lncRNA from 1 species